AAGUGCUUGGCCGAGAUCGUGAAUUUUUUAACAAAUGACCUCAAAUCAGGCAAGAAUACCCGCUGAAUUAAGCAUAUCAAUAAGCGGAGGAAAAGAAACUAACAAGGAUUCCCCUAGUAACGGCGAGUGAAGAGGGAAGAGCUCAAAUUUUAAAUCUGCCUUGUUUCAAGGUCGAGUUGUAAUUUGAAGAAGCGUUUUCUUGGGCUCGCGGCCGGUAGAAGUUCUUUGGAACAGGACAUCAUAGAGGGUGACAAUCCCGUCUGCGACCGGUCGUGCGUUCAUCUACGAUACGCUUUCAAAGAGUCGAGUUGUUUGGGAUUGCAGCUCCAAAUGGGUGGUAAACAUCACCUAAGGCUAAAUAUUGGCGAGAGACCGAUAGCGAACAAGUACCGUGAGGGAAAGAUGAAAAGAACUUUGAAAAGAGAGUUAAACAGUACGUGAAAUUGUUGAAAGGGAAACGAUUGAAGUCAGUCGUGCUGGCGCGAAAUCAACCCUCUCGUCGAGAGGACACAUGGCGUGGCGAGCCUCAAAACCGUCACGAAGCGUGAACUCUUGGCGAAAAGGAGCACUUUCGUGUCCGCUGGUUAACAUCAAUUUCGAACGUCAUAAAAAGGCUGGAGGGAUGUGGCUCCUUCGGGAGUGUUAUAACCUUUAGCGGAAUGUGGUGGUCGGGAUUGAGGAUUGCAACGAAUACCUUUAGGGCUGUUCCACCUGGCCUCUCUUUGGUAUCCUGGUGACGACAGCUUGCUGACGUUGUUAGGAUUCGCCAUUGAACAGGCUAGAGUGUGAGCAAAUUCGUUAAGGAUGUUAACGUAAUGGCUUUAAACGACC
rnacentral:rRNA from 1 species